AAAGGAUUAGUUAAAAAAUAACAUGAGCUUGUCAAGCUCUUAUUGCCUGUAAGGCAUUCUUUU
rnacentral:tRNA from 2 species